rnacentral:misc_RNA from 1 species
AACGCACAUUGCGCUCGCCAGCAUUCUGGCGAGCAUGCCUGUUCGAGCGUCAUUUCAACCCUCAAGCACCGCUUGGUUUUGGGGCCCCACGGCCGACGUGGGCCCUUAAAGGUAGUGGCGGACCCUCCCGGAGCCUCCUUUGCGUAGUAACUAACGUCUCGCACUGGGAUCCGGAGGGACUCUUGCCGUUAAACCCCCAAAUUUUUUCAGGUUGACCUCGGAUCAGGUAGGACUACCCGCUGAACUUAA